AGAGUUUGAUCCUGGCUCAGGACGAACGCUGGCGGCGCGCUUAACACAUGCAAGUCGAGCGAGGACCAGUCCUUUCGGGACUGGGGACAGCGGCGAACGGGUGAGUAACACGUGGGUAAUCUGCCCUCGAUUCUGGGAUAGCCCGGGGAAACCCGGAUUAAUACCGGAUAGCCUCUCUGGUCUUCGGGCCGGCGAGAAAAGGUAGCUUCGGCCUCCGAUCGAGGAUGAGCCCGCGGCGGGAUUAGCUUGUUGGUGGGGUAACGGCCUACCAAGGCGACGAUCCGUAGCUGGUCUGAGAGGACGAUCAGCCACACUGGGACUGAGACACGGCCCAGACUCCUACGGGAGGCAGCAGUGGGGAAUCUUGCGCAAUGGGCGAAAGCCUGACGCAGCGACGCCGCGUGGGGGAAGAAGGCCUUCGGGUUGUAAACCUCUUUCAGCAGGGACGAAGCCCCUCGGGUGAAUAGCCCAGAGGGUGACGGUACCUGCAGAAGAAGCCCCGGCUAACUACGUGCCAGCAGCCGCGGUAAUACGUAGGGGGCAAGCGUUGUCCGGAUUUAUUGGGCGUAAAGAGCGUGUAGGCGGCCAGACAGGUCCGUUGUGAAAACUAGAGGCUCAACCUCUAGACGUCGAUGGAAACCGUCUGGCUAGAGUCCGGAAGAGGAGAGUGGAAUUCCUGGUGUAGCGGUGAAAUGCGCAGAUAUCAGGAAGAACACCCGUGGCUAAAGCGGCUCUCUAGUACGGUACUGACGCUGAGACGCGAAAGCGUGGGGAGCGAACAGGAUUAGAUACCCUGUAGUCCACGCCGUAAACGAUGGGUGCUAGGUGUGGGGGGUGUCGACUCCCUCCGUGCCGAAGCUAACGCAUUAAGCACCCCGCCUGGGAGUACGGCCGCAAGGCUAAACUCAAGGAAUUGACGG
rnacentral:rRNA from 1 species